rnacentral:rRNA from 1 species
GGCAGCAGUGGGGAAUUUUGGACAAUGGGCGAAAGCCUGAUCCAGCAAUGCCGCGUGCAGGAUGAAGGCCUUCGGGUUGUAAACUGCUUUUGUACGGAACGAAAAAGCUCCUUCUAAUACAGGGGGCCCAUGACGGUACCGUAAGAAUAAGCACCGGCUAACUACGUGCCAGCAGCCGCGGUAAUAAU